GAUGAACGCUGGCGGCGUGCCUAAUACAUGCGAGUCGAGCGAACAGACGAGGAGCUUGCUCCUUUGACGUUAGCGGCGGACGGGUGAGUAACACGUGGAUAACCUACCUAUAAGACUGGGAUAACUUCGGGAAACCGGAGCUAAUACCGGAUAACAUUUUGAACCGCAUGGUUCAACAGUGAAAGACGGUCUUGCUGUCACUUAUAGAUGGAUCCGCGCCGCAUUAGCUAGUUGGUAAGGUAACGGCUUACCAAGGCAACGAUGCGUAGCCGACCUGAGAGGGUGAUCGGCCACACUGGAACUGAGACACGGUCCAGACUCCUACGGGAGGCAGCAGUAGGGAAUCUUCCGCAAUGGGCGAAAGCCUGACGGAGCAACGCCGCGUGAGUGAAGAAGGUCUUCGGAUCGUAAAACUCUGUUAUUAGGGAAGAACAAAUGUGUAAGUAACUAUGCACGUCUUGACGGUACCUAAUCAGAAAGCCACGGCUAACUACGUG
rnacentral:rRNA from 1 species